AAAGACCCGCAAGGGUAUGCUGAGAGAUGGGCUUGCGGCACAUUAGUUAGUUGGUAAGGUAAUGGCUUACCAAGACUAUGAUGUGUAGCUGGACUGAGAGGUUGAACGGCCACAUUGGGACUGAGAUACGGCCCAAACUCCUACGGGAGGCAGCAGUAAGGAAUUUUCGGCAAUGGAGGAAACUCUGACCGAGCAACGCCGCGCGAACGAUGAAGUAUUUAGGUACGUAAAGUUCUUUUAUUAAAGAAGAAAAAAUGAUGGAAAAAUCAUUCUGACGGUAUUUAAUGAAUAAGCCCCGGCUAACUAUGUGCCAGCAGCUGCGGUAAUACAUGGGGGGCGAGCGUUAUCCGGAUUUAUUGGGCGUAAAGGGUGCGUAGGCGGUUAAAUAAGUCUAUGGUAUAAGUUCAACGCUUAACGUUGUGAUGCUAUAGAAACUGUUUGACUAGAGUUGGAUAGAGGCAAGUGGAAUUCCAUGUGUAGCGGUAAAAUGCGUAAAUAUAUGGAGGAACACCAGUAGCGAAGGCGGCUUGCUGGGUCUUAACUGACGCUGAGGCACGAAAGCGUGGGGAGCAAACAGGAUUAGAUACCCUGGUAGUCCACGCCGUAAACGAUGAGUACUAAGUGUUGGGUUAAACCAGUGCUGAAGUUAACACAUUAAGUACUCCGCCUGAGUAGUACGUACGCAAGUAUGAAACUUAAAGGAAUUGACGGGACUCCGCACAAGCGGUGGAUCAUGUUGUUUAAUUCGAAGAUACACGAAAAACCUUACCAGGUCUUGACAUACUCUGCAAAGCUAUAGAAAUAUAGUGGAGGUUAUCAGGGAUACAGGUGGUGCAUGGUUGUCGUCAGCUCGCGUCGUGAGAUGUUGGGUUAAGUCCCGCAACGAGCGCAACCCUUAUCACUAGUUACCAUCAUUUAGUUGGGCACUUUAGUGAGACUGCCAAUGAUAAAUUGGAGGAAGGUGGGGAUUACGUCAAAUCAUCAUGCCCCUUAUGACCUGGGCUACAAACGUGAUACAAUGGCUGUUACAAAGAGUAGCUGAAACGUGAGUUUUUAGCAAAUCUCAAAAAAACAGUCUCAGUUCGGAUUGAAGUCUGCAACUCGACUUCAUGAAGUCGGAAUCG
rnacentral:rRNA from 1 species